rnacentral:lncRNA from 1 species
GGCGUUUACUGAAAGAGGCAACAUAGCCUGGAAUGUAAUGUUGGUAAGUGCUAUAAUUUCAGUGUGUUCUCCAAGAGUUUAUGUGUUGGAAAUUCUAUCCCCAAAUGCAUGUGUUAGUAAUAUUCGAAGAUGGGGCUUUGGGAAGUGAUUAGGGUCUGAUGAGGUCACGUGAAUGGUACCCAUGAUGGCAGUAGUAGAGAAGGGACCUGGGUACACUGCUUUCUCUCUCAGAAUGUGAUUCUCUCACUAAGCUGUGGUGCAGCAAGAAUGCCCUCAUCAGAGGCAGCCCUUUGAUAUUGAAUUUCUCAGAUUCUAGAACUGUGAUAGUUUUUAAAAUAAAUUACCCAGUCUGUGAUUUUCUGUUAUAGCAACUGAGAGCAGACAAAGACAGGAGGAUACUUGCUGUAUAAUACAUCAAUGUUAAGAGAGAAUUUAACAAAUAUUAUAGAUCAUGGCAGGACUUCUUGGUAUUUUCAUGUAAAUGAAGAGUAAAGAACAUUUGUACAGAAAGGAAUAAGUUGGGAGCUCUGGGUGGAGACAAUGACAGGAUGCAAAUAAGAGCUCCAAUAACUUUGCUGCUACUUGUUAUGUAAAUUAAUUUAAUUUUCACAACAACUAUUCAGUCUUGAUAUUGUUUUAUCUAUUUUACAGAUAAAGAAAUGGUGGCUCAAAGAUGUCAAUGGGUUGGUCAAAUUUACAUAGCAAGGGAAGGAGUGGGGAGUCAUUUCUAUCAAAUCUAAAUUUGCUUGUGUCCAAAGCUUGUAUUGUUCAACUAAUAUGAUAUAUGUACUCCCGGAAGGUGUGGAUAGAGUUGGAUAAAGCAGAUUUCUGGGAGCCUAGAGAAGUGAUUCCUCAAGUGUGGCCUUGGACAAGUAGCAUAAACACUGACAUCACCUGGGAACUUGUGAAAAAUGUAGGUUUGAGAGAUGGACGUUUCACUUAGCCAUUAAGACACUGGAAUGUCUGGAUGUGUGUUCCAGCUUCUUUCCCAAUUCUAGCUCUUGUGGGUAUUCGGAGAUUGAAACAGUGGUUAGGAAAUCUCUAUCUCUCUUUCUUCUCUGUUUUCACUUCCCUCCACUUGCUUUUCAAAGAAAUGAAAUUUUAAAAAAUACACAUUUGGGGGCCACUCAAUUCUAUUACUGAAUCAGAAACUCUGGGGGUUGGAAUCAGCAUCUGAUAACCAUACACCUAGAAAGAUAACUACUGACCUGAAGAAAAAGUGAUAGCAUCAAGUGACUGCUUAACACCAUACACAAGCAUCCCUGAAGUGGUCUAAAAAAUUAGAAGUCAUGGGCACUUAAUCAACCUGGAAUAAAAAAUGAUUUUGUAAUAAAUUCA